rnacentral:rRNA from 1 species
CAAUAGCGUAUAUUAAAGUUGUUGCAGUUAGAACGCUCGUAGUCGGAUUUCGGGGCGGGCCGACCGGUCUGCCGAUGGGUACGCACUGGUCGGCGCGUCCUUCCUUCCGGAGACCGUGCCUACUCUUAACUGAGCGGGGGCGGGAGACGGAUCGUUUACUUUGAAAAAAUCAGAGUGUUUCAAGCAGGCAGCUCGCUCUUGCAUGGAUUAGCAUGGGAUAAUGAAAUAGGACUUUGGUGCUAUUUUGUUGGUUUCGAACACCGAAGUAAUGAUAAAUAGGGACAGUCAGGGGCACUCGUAUUCCGCCGAGAGAGGUGAAAUUCUCAGACCAGCGGAGGACGAACCACUGCGAAAGCAUUUGCCAGGGAUGUUUUCACUGA